rnacentral:rRNA from 1 species
AACGAACGCUGGCGGCAUGCCUAACACAUGCAAGUCGAACGAGACCUUCGGGUCUAGUGGCGCACGGGUGCGUAACGCGUGGGAACCUGCCCUUAGGUUCGGAAUAACUCCCCGAAAGGGGUGCUAAUACCGGAUAAUGUCUUCGGACCAAAGAUUUAUCGCCUUUGGAUGGGCCCGCGUUGGAUUAGCUAGUUGGUAGGGUAAAAGCCUACCAAGGCGACGAUCCAUAGCUGGUCUGAGAGGAUGAUCAGCCACACUGGGACUGAGACACGGCCCAGACUCCUACGGGAGGCAGCAGUGGGGAAUAUUGGACAAUGGGCGAAAGCCUGAGCCAGCAAUGCCGCGUGAGUGAUGAAGGCCUUAGGGUUGUAAAGCUCUUCUACCCGGGAUGAUAAUGACAGUACCGGGAGAAUAAGCUCCGGCUAACUCCGUG